CAAAAGAAAAAGAAAAACAACAACAACAAAGGCUCAGCUCACAUAAACGCACCCUAUCAACCAAAACAACUCGAACAAGAAGAAGCAACUCAAAACGACGCCGCUGAGAGUCUACCCCGAUCAUGGCCUUCUCGUCCCGCCUUUUGUCCAAAUCCAAAGGACUACAAGGAGAAACCAGAUUAUAGUCGCUGUGUUGCUAUUGUAGCAACUGCAUCUUUGAGGGAAAUGAUAAAACCUGGUGCUUUGGCUAUUUUGUCGCCUAUAAUUGUUGGUGGGUUGACUGCUCUCAUUCUCAUUGUAGCCUAUGUCCUGUUUUAAUCUUUCAACUAUUAGGUUUACUGUUUUGGAUUUUGGGUUCCUAUACAGGGCAUCCUCUGCUUGGGGCUAAAGUUGUGGCUGCCAUGCUGAUGUUUGGAACAGUUUCAGGAAUUCUUAUGGCUCUUUUCUUGAACACAUUUGGUGGUGCCUGGGAUAACGCAAAGAAGUAUAUAGAGAUAGGUGCUCUCAGAGGCAAAGGGAGUGAUUGUCAUAAAGCAGCCAUUACAGGAGAUACGUAAGUGUUGUUGAUGUUCCCUUUUGGUGUUGUUCUUGCCAAUGUCUAGUAUUAUUAGUUAUGGCAAGUGGCAGUUAUAAAAUAUUGUGUCUCCUUUCAGUCACAUGAGUGGGUCUUGUGCUUUCAAUUUAUAGGCUCUGCUCGUUCUGUCUCUUUUGUGUCUUUUAUCUAUAGUUGUGUAAUAAUUUCUGUACUCCGUUAAUUGUUAACACGAAUGAAACACCCCUAAACAAAAUUUAAGGG